AAAUUUACCUGGCAGGGAAGGAGAUACCAUGAUCAUGAGGGUGGUUUUCCCAGGGCCCAGUUCAUCCAUUGCACUGCAGAUGUGCCGACCACUAUGAUUUAUCCAAAUGCAGGAAACUCAACUGUGUAAUUUGUGGUAGUGGGGAAUUGCAUUCGCACUUUCCCC
rnacentral:snRNA from 1 species